UAAAACUGUGACUCCCCCCUCCAGUGAGGACUCAUGGGACUUUAUUAAAAGAGGCUUGCAAAUAACUGGGUAUGUACUGGGUGCACUUGUACUUCUGUUGGUGGUCGGGAUAGCUGUCAUCUGUUCUCAGAAGAAAAAGAAAAAGAACAAACCUAAAGAAGAAGAUGACCAGGAAUUGACCUAUGGUGAUAUCAAGAUCAUGCAGCGACCGGGGAGGCAGGUGCAGCAAAGAGCAGGGCCGGAGGUGGAGUACUGCGCAGUCAUGUUUUCAGAGCGACCUCGACAGUCUGUUCGACCAGCAGAAGAUGAGUGUGUGUACUCCAGUGUCUGUAAAGGAAGGUGAUUCACAGAGUUUAAAGACUGCACCACUGAAGGCAGAUGGAGGAGAUGGCUGUCAAGAGGCCAAAAGGCUUUUCACCUUCAUGUGACUUCCAGUUGGAAAAUAUCUCAUAUCGCUCAUAGAUUUUUCCAUUUUUCUAGCACUUUCACUGUUGUCUGCUACAAUUUUUUCUUCAGAAAAUAUGUUUUAAAAUAUUCCAUAUUACAGUAUUACAUUACAUUUCCCUGUAAUAUAAUUCUCUUUAGAUUAUAUUGUACCUACUUUUUACUUGUUUCUAAGUUUUGAGCAUAUUUACCUUCAUUUUAUCGUUAAAACAAUGUAAACUUGCAAUAAUGUAUGAAUUUGAAAAACAACAAUGUAUGUCAUUGUAUUACUCACCUAAUGUCAAAGUUUGCAUUUACUGCAAUUGAAAUGUAUUCAUGAAACAGAUGUGGAUGGACUAGUUGGGGGUCGGAGUGUAAUCAUGCAUAUGUAGUGUGGAUUCAUUAAACGUUUGGUGCUGUGUAACGUCAAAUUAGACCGUGUGAUCUUCCUUUGGUUUUCUUGCCAUAAGUUAGGUUUAUAGAGUAAUGUCUGUCACAUAUUUGUUUCCAUCACACACACACACACACACACACACACACACACACACACACAUAUGUAA